AAACGAUUUGUGCUAGACGUGCCCCAUGUUUCACAUAAUAUCCUACAAAAUCUGAUGUGGCAUCAAAAUCAAAAUAUCGCUGAAGAAAUGUCAAAAUAUCGCUGAAGUUUAAAAGGAGAUUUUCUUGUAAUUGUAAAACCUUAAUCCUGCCCAUUUGACCGCGAUUUGCAAUCCCCAACCCCAAGUCUCUUUUCCAAAUUCCCCCAGUGAUCGAGAAAUGGAACGAGAGGAAAAUUCUUCCGACCACACCGGUAACAUUAAUGCCGACGAUGAUAUAAUGGUGAACCCGACAUGGUUAUCUCCAUCUUUUGUGGUGGACCCAAGACCCAUUUAUUAUAGAGAUUAAUAUGAAAUGGAAGGAGGCAACUCCGACGGCGGCAACAUCGAUUCUGGCAAAAACAUGAGUAACAUUUCUUCUUCAUAAUCUUGAUAUCGCUGAUGUGAGCUCAUGUUCUAUAUGAAUUUGUGUUCUUCCCUGAGUUCAGAUGAAUGAUUUCGUAUUAUGGUGCCUUUCCUUACUACCAUAGCAUUUUUCUCAAACUUCUGGCAAAUCUGGUGCAGAUAUGACUUCGAACAACACUUAUAGUUAAACAUUUUUGAGUGAAUUUUAAUCUUACCUAAAAUCUGUUGCUAUAUAUGGUGCUAAAAUGGAACAGUUAGAACAAAAAUCUGCUACUAUAUUUACUUUUAUAUUUAGUUUCUGGGCAAUUAGAACAUAAAUAGAAAAUAGGGACAAGAAUAAGGGUACGGUUGGUUUCAAAGUUUGGAAGUCUAUCCAUUGUGACGUGAUUGACAGUGGCCUUUAAGAGUGGAAAAUGAUAAUUUUUGAACUGUCUAAUUGUUGUGAACACAUUCUAAAUUGGAACAAAAGCUUUGAAAUAUAUGGAGAUGCAAACCCAGCCUACCCCAUCCCUAUUAUCUAAUUGUAGUUUAUGCUAAAUUGACAAGCUGUUGGCUUUAUAUUCUAAUGUCAAUGUUGGCAUGUUUGUGCAAAUACUUGGAAAUGAUUAUUGUUCCUCUUGUCAAAAAUGUAGGUUGGAAUUGAUUAUUGUUCCUCUUGUCAUAAAUGUAGGUAUUUUGGAAAUCCCUUCAUCCGAAGACGACAAUCCGAAUGACAUGAGUUUACGAGAAGGAACUGAUAUUAUUGUGCCUAGUGUUGGAAUGAAGUUCCAAGAUGAGAAUGAGGUGUUCGAAUUUUACAAGAACUACGCGUACCAAGUUGGAUUUCCGGUGAGGAAAAGAAAUUCAAAGAAGGGUGAGGAUGGUGUUGUACGUUAUGUAACUUUUACAUGUAGUCGGGAGGGCCGUCGAACUAGUGGUUCAAAUGCAGUCAUGAAGCCUCAACCAACAAUGUAAAUAGGCUGUAAAGCAAGAUUGACAGCAUGUUCAGAACUUAGUGGCGCAUGGCGUAUUAACACUGUCCAUCUGGAGUAUAAUCACAAGAUAAGCCCAUUGAAAUCAAGGCUAUAUCGCUGCAAUCGAGAAAUCAGUGCACGCGCGAGAAGACGGCUUGAAAUAAAUGACGUAGCUGGUAUACUAUUACAUAAGAGUUUUAACUCGGCCGUAGUUGAAGCCGGUGGUUACGAAAUUAUUACGUGCGUUGAGAAGGAUUGUAGAAAUUUCAUUGACAAAGUCCGACGGUUAAGACUGGGUGAAGGAGAUACUCUUGCAAUACAAGUGUAUUUUACAAGGAUGCAAGCAACCAAUCCUAGAUUCUUCUUUAGCAUAGACUUGGAUGAUGAGGCCCAGUUGAGGAACGUGUUUUGGGCAGAUAACGGGUGUAGGCAAGCGUGUAAGGAAUUCGGUGAUAUAGUUACAUUUGACACCACGUACUUGACCAACAAGUACGAGAUGCCUUUCGCUCCUUUCGUUGGGGUAAACCAUCAUGGACAAUCAACCCUACUUGGAUGUGGUUUGCUAUCAAAUGAAGACGCAAGGACUUUUGUAUAUUCCGAACACGGCUUGAAUUAGUACUCCAGACCAAGUUAGAUAUGAGCAAAUGUGCAAUGCUUUUGCGAAGUUAGCUGACUUGGUAGCACACGACGAGUCACGGUCACGUGGUAUCAUGGAUUGUAUUGAAAUCCAAACAAAUGAUUCAUCGAUGUUGAAGUAUAGCAACGUGGGCUCUCAACGCUUGGAUGAAGCCGAAAAGUGUUCUGGCGGAAUCAUCUUGGACCCGAAAUAAAAAGUAAGGGAGCUCCUAAAAAACUUCGCCGAAAGAGACAUCUAGAAGCUGUUUCCAGAAAAUCGAAAAUCUGUCGUAAGGUAUGAUUUCAAGCAAAAAUAUUUAUUUUGAUAAUCAUUGUACAUAUUGAAUUGAGUAUAUUCUCCAUGACUUACAGAAUUCGACUACAACGAACGGGCAAAAAGACAAAGUUUCAUCAUCAUUCAAUGUUAAGGUAUUUUAGCAUGAGAUUAUAUAACACCAACUUAGCUAACUACCCUUUUGAAAUAUUUGUAAAUGAUAAUUGCAAUUCCAUUUGGUAGGAGGUCGGCACGCAGGAGAGUGUUGGAGAUUUUGAUGUAGUGGUAUAAGGCAUCUAGCAGAUUUUCAAUUGAUUUUGAUGUAGGCGUAUAAGGCAUCUACCAGAUUUUGAUGUGGGUCUGGUGGUGGGGUGGAAAAGAACGAUAUCAAGAUUGUAAUGAAUCUAAUGAUGCAUAUCAUAGCUAUGGGUACUGUUUUGAGAAGGGCUGGUAAUUGUGUUGAGAAGUAGCAAAAAAAAAGGCCCUUUGUUUUGAUAUGUGUUUAUAUAUCAAUAUCUUAUUAGCAUUGUUUUAAUUACUGCUCGAAAUUUGGAUAAGCUCAUUUAUCAGUUUUGUGUAUAUGUUGGAAUGUUCAGCUGUGUUUUGCCUCAAUGCUAAUCCCAAUUCGCACUCUGGGCAA
rnacentral:lncRNA from 1 species